AGAGUUUGAAAAAUGGAUGAAGGCAAAUAGCAUGGUAAUUUCUUGGAUCCUUAAUUCCAUUUCCAAAGAAAUUGUGGAAGCAUUCGUUUAUAGCAACCACAGCAAAGGAAUUAUGGGAGGAGUUAGUGCAGAGAGUCGGUGGGAGCAACGGUCCUCAAAUAUAUCAGAUCAAGAGGGAGAUUAGUGAUCAUCAUCAUGGUAACGGGUCAGUUAUGAUGUAUUUUACAAAAUUAAAAAAAAAUUAUGGGAUGAAUUAAUGUGGCUCAAACCCAUUCCGACCUGCAAUUGUUUUGCAUCAAAGUAAUUAACUGAGAUGUUUGAUAAUGAUAGAUUGAUGCAAUUUUUUAUGGAACUCAAUAGUACUUAUGAUCGUGUUAAAAAUUAAGUGUUGCUAAUGGAUCAAUUUCCUACAAUAAACAAAGCUUACUCUAUGGUAUUGAGUGUUGAAAAACAGAGGGAGGUCAAUGCUUUU
rnacentral:misc_RNA from 1 species